AGAAAUAAGACUUGCCUGUCACGGGUUGAACUCAAACAAGAAAAAAGUAAAACGACAUCGAGCCAAUUUCUAGCAUCAACAAAACUUGUGAUCCUGUAGAGGAGGGAGAUAUGCACUCAAAGUAAAAUAGGUAUGCACACAACAUUUGAUCCAUUUUGAGUACAAGGUUGUAGAAAAAUUUAUGUGAAACAUUAGCAUAACAUUGUAAUUGAAUUGAUGGUAUUCUUUUUGUUUUUUAUCGUUCCAUCCUUCUCUACGCCUUUCCUAUCUCCAACUGUCAGUAAUUUAUUUAUGAAAGGUAGGCAGAGAGAACUCUAAAAAUCGUCACAUAUUAUGUGUCGAAAUAGGACUGUUUUUAUCUAUUAAACUGAGAUUUUCAUCUAAUCAUUAUUUAGCAUUAGUUGUAUUGUUAUUCUUUUCUUCUUGACUUUGACCAGAUCUUGAAUUGAGGGACUGCAAUGUAAAUCAGCAGAUUCAUAUCCCGUUUAUUGACUGCAAGCAACAUAAAAAUCAAAAUAUCAUGUAGAUUCCUAACGUUUAGUUGAACUAAUGUUCUAAAUGUUAAACAAACACCAAACAUGCCAAAAAAAAAAACUCAAGGAAAAAAAGAAACACUUCUUUUUUAAAUCAAGAAACAAUUCCUUCAUUUUUUUUUUGUUUUUUGGUAAUU
rnacentral:lncRNA from 1 species